GACGAACGCUGGCGGCGUGCUUAACACAUGCAAGUCGAGCGGUAAGGCCCUUUCGGGGGUACACGAGCGGCGAACGGGUGAGUAACACGUGGGUGACCUGCCCUUAGCUCUGGGAUAAGCCUGGGAAACUGGGUCGUAAUACCGGAUAUGACUCCAUGACGCAUGUUGUGGGGUGGAAAGCCUUGUGCGGCUAGGGAUGGGCCCGCGGCCUAUCAGCUUGUUGGUGGGGUGAUGGCCUACCAAGGCGACGACGGGUAGCCGGCCUGAGAGGCGACCGGCCACACUGGGACUGAGACACGGCCCAGACUCCUACGGGAGGCAGCAGUGGGGAAUCUUGCGCAAGUGGGCGAAAGCCUGACGCAGCGACGCCGCGUGGGGAUGACGGCCU
rnacentral:rRNA from 1 species